rnacentral:sRNA from 1 species
UUGGUAUCAUACGGGACUAAACUCCUCAAUUUAUCCAAAUUACAGAUGUGUUUCAGGCAGUGCUAUUUUCCAGAAGCUAUCUAGUCAACAUGUCUCAACCCUGACCUACUUAUGGCACUUCCAAAGAUGAAUGCAUUUUUCAGACUCCUAAUCCUUUCAACCCCUGGUUUCU